rnacentral:rRNA from 1 species
AUUGAACGCUGGCGGCAUGCUUUACACAUGCAAGUCGAACGGUAACAGGCCGCAAGGUGCUGACGAGUGGCGAACGGGUGAGUAAUGCAUCGGAACGUGCCCAGUCGUGGGGGAUAACGCAGCGAAAGCUGUGCUAAUACCGCAUACGAUCUAUAGAUGAAAGCGGGGGACCGUAAGGCCUCGAGCGAUUGGAGCGGCCGAUGUCAGAUUAGGUAGUUGGUGGGGUAAAGGCCUACCAAGCCGACGAUCUGUAGCUGGUUUGAGAGGACGACCAGCCACACUGGGACUGAGACACGGCCCAGACGCCUACGGGAGGCAGCAGGGGGGAAUUUUGGACAAUGGGCGCAAGCCUGAUCCAGCAAUGCCGCGUGCAGGAAGAAGGCCUUCGGGUUGUAAACUGCUUUUGUACGGAACGAAACGGUCUGGGUUAAUACCCUGGGCUAAUGACGGUACCGUAAGAAUAAGCACCGGCUAACUACGUGCCAGCCGCCGCCGUAACAC